rnacentral:tRNA from 3 species
GGGCCGGUAGCUCAGCUGGUAGAGCACCUGACUUUUAAUCAGGUUGUCGCGGGUUCGACCCCCGCCCGGCUCACCA